rnacentral:rRNA from 1 species
GUGGGGAAUAUUGCGCAAUGGGCGGAAGCCUGACGCAGCGACGCCGCGUGGGGGAUGACGGCCUUCGGGUUGUAAACCUCUUUCGCCAGGGACGAAGAGCAAUUGACGGUACCUGGAGAAGAAGCACCGGCCAACUACGUGCCAGCAGCCGCGGUAACACGUAGGGUGCGAGCGUUGUCCGGAAUUAUUGGGCGUAAAGAGCUCGUAGGCGGUGUGUCGCGUCGGCCGUGAAAACUUGGGGCUUAACUCUGAGCGUGCGGUCGAUACGGGCAUCACUUGAGUUCGGCAGGGGAGACUGGAAUUCCUGGUGUAGCGGUGAAAUGCGCAGAUAUCAGGAGGAACACCGGUGGCGAAGGCGGGUCUCUGGGCCGAUACUGACGCUGAGGAGCGAAAGCGUGGGGAGCGAACAGGAUUAGAAACCCCUGUAGUCC